rnacentral:piRNA from 1 species
UAACAUCUGCUGUGCUGACAUAUGUUCUG